rnacentral:rRNA from 1 species
UACGGGGGGGGCAAGCGUUGUUCGGAAUUACUGGGCGUAAAGGGCUCGUAGGCGGCCAACUAAGUCGGAUGUGAAAUCCCCAGGCUCAACCUGGGAACUGCGUCCGAUACUGGUGGGCUUGAAUCCGGGAGAGGGAUGCGGAAUUCCAGGUGUAGCGGUGAAAUGCGUAGAUAUCUGGAGGAACACCGGUGGCGAAGGCGGCAUCCUGGACCGGCAUUGACGCUGAGGCGCGGAAGCUAGGGGAGCAAACGGG